CUAGACCUAGGGACGCAGCAGUGAGGAAUAUUGGUCAAUGGCCGGGAGGCUGAACCAGCCAAGUCGCGUGAGGGAAGACGGCCCUACGGGUUGUAAACCUCUUUUGUCAGGGAGCAAGGUGCAGGUCGGGACCUGCUGUGAGAGUACCUGAAGAAAAAGCAUCGGCUAACUCCGUGCCAGCAGCCGCGGUAAUACGGAGGAUGCGAGCGUUAUCCGGAUUUAUUGGGUUUAAAGGGUGCGCAGGCGGAGGCACAAGUCAGCGGUAAAAUCGCGGGGCUCAACCCCGCUCCGCCGUUGAAACUGUG
rnacentral:rRNA from 1 species